AAGCCAUGGUGAGGACAAGUGUUGAUAGCUUCCAUGUACCUCUCCCAACACUCAUAGAAUUUCUCAUUCUUCUUAGCUGAGAAGUUCGAAAUUUGUCUUUUUAAGCCA
rfam:Vitis vinifera, whole genome shotgun sequence of line PN40024, unordered unoriented unplaced sequences